AGUGGCGAACGGGUGAGUAAUACAUCGGAACGUGUCCUGUAGUGGGGGAUAGCCCGGCGAAAGCCGGAUUAAUACCGCAUACGAUCUAAGGAUGAAAGCGGGGGAUCUUCGGACCUCGCGCUAUAGGGGCGGCCGAUGGCAGAUUAGCUAGUUGGUGGGGUAAAGGCCUACCAAGGCGACGAUCUGUAGCUGGUCUGAGAGGACGACCAGCCACACUGGGACUGAGACACGGCCCAGACUCCUACGGGAGGCAGCAGUGGGGAAUUUUGGACAAUGGGCGCAAGCCUGAUCCAGCAAUGCCGCGUGUGUGAAGAAGGCCUUCGGGUUGUAAAGCACUUUUGUUCGGGAAGAAAAGGCGAGGGCUAAUAUCCUUUGCUGAUGACGGUACCGGAAGAAUAAGCACCGGCUAACUACGUGCCAGCAGCCGCGGUAAUACGUAGGGUGCAAGCGUUAAUCGGAAUUACUGGGCGUAAAGCGUGCGCAGGCGGUUUGUUAAGACAGAUGUGAAAUCCCCGGGCUUAACCUGGGAACUGCAUUUGUGACUGGCAGGCUAGAGUGUGGCAGAGGGGGGUGGAAUUCCGCGUGUAGCAGUGAAAUGCGUAGAUAUGCGGGGGAACAUCGAUGGCGAAGGCAGCCCCCUUGGGCCAACACUGACCCUCAUGCACGAAAGCGUGGGGAGCAAACGGGAUUAGAUACCCUGGUAAUCCACGCCCUAAACGAUGUUCAACUAGUUGUUGGGGAUUCAUUUCCUUAGUAACGUAGCUAACGCGUGAAGUUGACCGCCUGGGGAGUACGGUCGCAAGAUUAAAACUCAAAGGAAUUGACGGGGACCCGCACAAGCGGUGGAUGAUGUGGAUUAAUUCGAUGCAACGCGAAAAACCUUACCUACCCUUGACAUGGUCGGAACCCUUGAGAGAUCAGGGGGUGCUCGAAAGAGAACCGAUACACAGGUGCUGCAUGGCUGUCGUCAGCUCGUGUCGUGAGAUGUUGGGUUAAGUCCCGCAACGAGCGCAACCCUUGUCCUUAGUUGCUACGCAAGGGCACUCUAAGGAGACUGCCGGUGACAAACCGGAGGAAGGUGGGGAUGACGUCAAGUCCUCAUGGC
rnacentral:rRNA from 1 species